AUUGAACGCUGGCGGCAUGCCUUACACAUGCAAGUCGAACGGUAACAGGUCUUCGGAUGCUGACGAGUGGCGAACGGGUGAGUAAUACAUCGGAACGUGCCUAGUAGUGGGGGAUAACUACUCGAAAGAGUGGCUAAUACCGCAUGAGAUCUACGGAUGAAAGCAGGGGAUCGCAAGACCUUGUGCUACUAGAGCGGCCGAUGGCAGUUUAGGUAGUUGGUGGGAUAAAAGCUUACCAAGCCGACGAUCUGUAGCUGGUCUGAGAGGACGAUCAGCCACACUGGGACUGAGACACGGCCCAGACUCCUACGGGAGGCAGCAGUGGGGAAUUUUGGACAAUGGGCGCAAGCCUGAUCCAGCAAUGCCGCGUGCAGGAUGAAGGCCUUCGGGUUGUAAACUGCUUUUGUACGGAACGAAAAGCCCUGGGUUAAUACCCUGGGGUCGUGACGGUACCGUAAGAAUAAGCACCGGCUAACUACGUGCCAGCCGCCGCCGUAAAAC
rnacentral:rRNA from 1 species